rnacentral:rRNA from 1 species
UACGUAGGGGGCGAGCGUUGUCCGGAAUUACUGGGCGUAAAGGGUGCGUAGGUGGCCUUUUAAGUUGGAUGUGAAAUACCCGGGCUUAACUUGGGGGGUGCAUCUAAUACUGGAAGGCUAGAGUGCAGGAGAGAAAAGCGGAAUUCCUAGUGUAGCGGUGAAAUGCGUAGAUAUUAGGAGGAACACCAGUGGCGAAGGCGGCUUUCUGGACUGUAACUGACACUGAGGCACGAAAGCGUGGGGAGCAAACAGGAUUAGAUACCCUGGUAGUCCACGCGGUAAACGAUGAAUACUAGGUGCAGGGGGUAUCAACCCCCCCUGUGCCGCAGCUAACGCAAUAAGUAUUCCGCCUGGGGAGUACGGCCGCAAGGUUGAA